rnacentral:rRNA from 1 species
AUUGAACGCUAGCGGGAUGCCUUACACAUGCAAGUCGAACGGCAGCACGGACUUCGGUCUGGUGGCGAGUGGCGAACGGGUGAGUAAUGUAUCGGAACGUGCCUAGUAGCGGGGGAUAACUACGCGAAAGCGUAGCUAAUACCGCAUACGCCCUACGGGGGAAAGCAGGGGAUCGCAAGACCUUGCACUAUUAGAGCGGCCGAUAUCGGAUUAGCUAGUUGGUGGGGUAACGGCUCACCAAGGCGACGAUCCGUAGCUGGUUUGAGAGGACGACCAGCCACACUGGGACUGAGACACGGCCCAGACUCCUACGGGAGGCAGCAGUGGGGAAUUUUGGACAAUGGGGGAAACCCUGAUCCAGCCAUCCCGCGUGUGCGAUGAAGGCCUUCGGGUUGUAAAGCACUUUUGGCAGGAAAGAAACGUCAUGGGCUAAUACCCCGUGAAACUGACGGUACCUGCAGAAUAAGCACCGGCUAACUACGUGCCGGCAGCCGCGGUAAUACGUAGGGUGCAAGCGUUAAUCGGAAUUACUGGGCGUAAAGCGUGCGCAGGCGGUUCGGAAAGAAAGAUGUGAAAUCCCAGAGCUUAACUUUGGAACUGCAUUUUUAACUACCGAGCUAGAGUGUGUCAGAGGGAGGUGGAAUUCCGCGUGUAGCAGUGAAAUGCGUAGAUAUGCGGAGGAACACCGAUGGCGAAGGCAGCCUCCUGGGAUAACACUGACGCUCAUGCACGAAAGCGUGGGGAGCAAACA